AAGCUGAGAGAGAGGUGGGGAGUCUCUUCUGAGGCCAGAGGCAGAUAGGAUUAACUAGGAAAGCAAGAUUUGGGGGGUGAGGGGGGAAGGAGAAGGCAGGAAAGGAGGAGUCUAGCAGUUAGGUUCCCGACUGCCCUUGUCCCCUUCCAAACAUUCCAGCCAGAGCGCGAUGGAGACAUCUCUUCCAAAUCCUCUGGGGGGCCCCAAACGGGGGAUCCUCUCUAAUCUGGCAGAGUUCCCAGUUGGAUUGUGAAGGUCUGCGUUGGCUCUGAGGAGCAGUGCUGGUCAGCCCCUCUCCAGUCAGUCUGAGGGUUCAAGAACAUCUUGGAAAGGAAAGGUCACAGAGGAAGCUCCACCUUCAUUUCUUGAUUCUGGGGCAGAAUCCAGAACUAUGCAGGAAGCGACUGUCCAGGAAACAAAAUGCAGAAGGCCUCAGCGGAGACCUGACCAUCCGUCUGUCUCAGCCACUGAUUUGCUGAUCAAGAGCAAAUGAAGAUAACUACAUUUUAAGCAAAGGGCCUUGUUUUCCAAGAAAGGAGAGUCUAGGAACCUGAGGACAAACUCUCAGAGAAGUUCGAAUCUGGGCUGUGGAGCUACGUCCGUGAUACCCUGUGAAUAAUGGCCCACUGGGACAGUAGGUGUCCCCUCUGCUUCUACUAGGCCACAUCUCCCAGAAUCACAAAGCCUUUAGUUGGAUUUUAGGACUUGGAAAGGACCUCCUAGAGAUCACUUAAGCCAACCCUACCCUUACUUUUUGUUUUUUUACAGAUGAGGAAAAUGAGGCCCAGCAGGGUUAAGUGAUUUGCCCAAGGUCAUGUAAGUAAGUAGGGACAGAACCAGGCUUUGAAUUUGGUGACUCUUUCUACUACCCCAGCUCCCAUCCCCUGUUGUGGGGUGGGUGGGCAGGACAG